AUGGUACCGGAAACGAAAUCUCUCACUCGGAACCGGAUUUUUUUUUUGAGCGAAAAAAAACUCGGAACCGGAUUGCUGGACAUCAUUUUCGCUCUACAAAAGAAGCGGGACCCGUUCGUUUCCGCCCUCAGCUGUUCCGUUCACCUCUCUUUCGUCGUCGUCUUCUCCGCGGUGACUUCACGCGACAUGGACGGCUCCGGCCCAUAUUACGACGCGGCCGCCGGCGAAGAGACGCGCCCUGCCUCGGCUGGCACGCCGGCCCGCUUAUACUCAUUCUCUACGUCAGGCAACUUGACCACAGAGAUUCGGGUACGGGAGGUUAACGCUAUCAUGUUUGGCUUCGUGCGCGGAGCCGGAGGUAACGGCGAUGGACACGAUGACGGGUCGUCUGGGUACAGUGAAGGCAGCUUCGGCACGGUCCCGGCGUCCGAGGAGGCCAUCGCCGGGCUGGAGGAGGCGGCCGUCGAGGAGACGAGGGAGGCGGAGUGCGCUGUUUGCACGGAGAGCUUCGAUGUAGGUGGCAAGAUCAGGAAGAUGCCGUGCUCCCAUGAAUACCACGAGAGCUGCAUCUUCAGGUGA
rnacentral:rRNA from 1 species